UAGAUAAGAGCCUCUUUUCCUCUUUCUUUUUCUCCACAUGCUGAUCCAAAGGCAUCUGCAGAAAAUCGUCUUCACAGCAGAUGAAGCUCACGGUGCAUCCCAUCCAGACAGGUUCAGGUGAGCGUCCUUAAGACCCAUUCAACGCGAGCGUUCCCCGGGAAUAUUCCUCCUGAAGGUCAGCGCGGCAGGUAUGAGCUGCGAUCAAACACUCGCGGGGCACUUCGGCCCAGAUCGGAUCCGGCGGGGGUUAUUCCAUUAGCGUCGGCGUCUCCGCGCGCGGUGUUCGCGUUGACCGCGGAACUGCCAUUGGGAAUGACGCGCUGAAGCGGUGGGAAGGACCGGAGCGCGAGGGGGAAAAGUUUGAAAACUGGGAUGCGUGACUCUGAAGUGUCUCGCGCGCGCGCGCGCGCUCCCGGAGCUGCAGGAGAGUAAACACAGGCCGCCUCGCUUUAAUGUGCAGCGAUGCCUUGCGCAGCUGUCUAGACUCUCAUUCUGACGGCACCCAUUCACUGCAGAGGAGCCACUGGUGAGCAAGUGAUAUGCUGCAUUCGUUUCUCCAAAUCUGUUCCCAUGAAGAAACUCAUCUACAUCUUGGAUGGCUGGAGGCUGAGUAAAUAUUCAGCAAAAUGACAUUCUUAGCUGAACUAGUGGUCUAAUAUUAUAUUUUUGAACGUAUAAACCUCAGACUUAUUUUACAGACUUGUACUCCACCAUCUUACACUUUGCCUCUUUCUCCUUAGCUGUAAUCUGAGAGGGAACAGGGAAAGAGGGAAAUGGUUCUGAGACACCCGGGCCGAUGCCCAUCGCCAGAACUCCUAGGGGCCAGAGAACCACAAAAGGCCUCUGUGGAAGAGAGAUCCGGGGUCGGACCAGUGCGGCUUUCAUGUCUGGGUUUCCUCGGUCACUUAAAUCCGCAGGUGCUGAGAGGGGACGUCUGUGACUGAAAAACAUUCCCAGGGUGCCAUUUGAUACAGACGUGAAUCAGAAGAUCCUGACGAAACUCAUUCCACAGCUCAGCAGUCGCGUGUGUUUUAUCCAAGCUGCUUUCAAAUAUCAACAACCUCUGUUCUGAACAUAUGCGUAAAUGAAUUACGUUUCCCUUUAUACAAACUACAAAUGCACUUAACCCUAUGAAGCCUGCUGUAUCAUAUUUGAUAUGUGCAUCUCUGAAUGAUCAGCUUGAUUAAAAUUGCUGUUCUUUACCAUCUA